UACGUAGGGUGCCAGCGUUGUUCGGAAUUACUGGGCGUAAAGGGUUCGUAGGCGGUGUGGCAAGUCGGGAGUGAAAUCUCUGGGCUCAACUCAGAGACUGCUUCCGAAACUGCUGUGCUGGAGUGAGGGAGAGGCGCGUGGAAUUGCAGGUGUAGCGGUGAAAUGCGUAGAUAUCUGCAGGAACACCCGUGGCGAAAGCGGCGCGCUGGACCACUACUGACGCUGAGGAACGAAAGCUAGGGGAGCAAACAGG
rnacentral:rRNA from 1 species